UGUAAGUGCGGGAAAAUUUG
rnacentral:misc_RNA from 1 species